rnacentral:rRNA from 1 species
UACGUAGGGACCGAGCGUUGCUCGGAAUCACUGGGCGUAAAGCGCACGUAGGCGGAUUGUUAAGUCAGGGGUGAAAUCCUGGAGCUCAACUCCAGAACUGCCUUUGAUACUGGCGAUCUCGAGUCCGGGAGAGGUGAGUGGAACUGCGAGUGUAGAGGUGAAAUUCGUAGAUAUUCGCAAGAACACCAGUGGCGAAGGCGGCUCACUGGCCCGGUACUGACGCUGAGGUGCGAAAGCGUGGGGAGCGAACAGG